UGGGCCAAUAAUAUGGCUGCCCCACUUAUGAAAAACUAGACAUGGUGCUAAUGUGUCCAGUUUGGGAGGAAAAUUAUCCUCUAAACAUACUACAAGGCUUUGCUAGAGAAGUAUCAGAUCAUACCCCACUGUUCCUAGAUACUAGGGAAGGACAGAUUGAUAAAUACAUUUUCAGAUAUGAAAAUGCUUGGGCUUUGAGAAAGGGGUUUAAAGAAUUGGUAUAUGAAACCUGGAAUGAAAGAUAUUAUGGGGAUAUAUUAGAAAGAUGGAAACUUAGAAUAAGAAAUUUGAGGAAGAAAACCAAGGGAUGGAAUAGAAAUGUGGAUGCUUGGUAUAAAAAGAUCAAAAUAGAAUUAAGAAGCUAGAUGAGAUUGAUAAAAAAACUGAGAUUGAUAAAAAAACUGAGAUUAUGGGAAUAACCGUUGUCGACAGAACAGAACAAAAGGAACUGAGAGAACAACUAAAAGAGUGAUGAUUCAAGAGGAGAUAAAAUGGCUUCAAAGAUAUAAAGAUAAGGAAAUUAUAGAUGGAGAUGGGAACACUAGAUAUUACCAUGCAAAGGUAAAUGUAAGGAGGAAAAACAGAAUUAUUUCCCUAGAACAAGAAGAAGGGAUGAUAGAAGGGGAGGAGAGCCUAAUGGAAUAUAUUACAAACUUUUAUAAAAAAACUGUUUGGACACCCUGAAGAAACACAGAUUUCUAUGGGGAAUCUAGAGUCUAAAAAAAUCAGUGAGGAAGAGAGGAAAAAUCUGAUGGCACGCUUUUCUUUGAAUGAAAUUAAAGAGGUGGUUUUUGAGAUGAAGAAAAAUAAGAGUCCAGGACUAGAUGGGUUCCCUGCUGAUUUCUAUCAAGAGUUUUGGGAUCUGGUCAAGUGGGACCUCAAAGCCCUGGUAGAAGAAUUUGCCAAAGGAAAUAUUGAUAUUUCUAGGCUCAACUAUGGCAUAAUUACAUUAAUCUCGAAAAUUGUUGAUGCCAAACAAAUUCAGAAGUUCAGACCAAUUUGUCUUUUGAAUGUUAGCUUUAAAAUUAUCACAAAAGUGUUGAUGAACAGAUUGACACAAUGUGUGUCCCAUGUCAUAUCUAAAACCCAAACAACAUUUAUCAAAGGAAGAUACAUAAUGGAGGGAGUGGUGAUUUUACAUGAAGCUCUGAACACAUUUCAUACUAGGAAGCAAGAUGCACUAAAUUUUAAGGUGGAUUUUGAGAAAGCAUAUGAAAAAAUUAAAUGGCCCUUUGUGAUACAGAUGUUGAGGGCCAAAGGCUUUCCUGAUAGGUGGUGUGAUUGGGUUAUGGAAAUGAUGAGAGGGGGACAUGUUGGGGUGAAGGUAAAUGACGAAAUUGGACCAUAUUUUAGGACUUAUAAAGGACUCAGACAGGGGGAUGCUUUGUCUUCCCUUUUAUUUGACCUAGCUGGUGAUGCUUUGGCUAUUCUUAUGAAUAAUGCUUUAGAACACGAUUUGGUUAAAGGGGUCUUGGGGGAUGGAAAUAAUAAAGGGGUUAACAUGUUGCAAUAUGCAGAUGACACAAUCUUCCUAAUCCAGGAUGAUGUUGAAAGUGUCCAAAAUCUUAAGUUUAUCCUGGGAGCAUUUGAACAAAUGUCUGGCCUCAAAAUUAAUUUUCAUAAGAGUGAAUUGAUGCUUUUUUGGGAAAGCUAAAGAGAAACAAGAUUUAUACCAGGAAAUCCUUACUUUUAAGAUGGGUGUGAUACCCAUAAAAUAUUCAGGAAUGCCAGUAUCUGAUUCCAGACUUAGAAAUGUUCACUGGAAUUGUGUGACUGAGAAGGUUGAGAAAAGCUGUGGUUGCUGGCAAGGUAAACUGUUGGGCUCUAUUGUAGGGAGAAUUACUUUUGUUCAGGCUUGCCUGACUAACAUACCCCUCUUUAUGAUGUCUUUUUAUCCUAUACCUAAAGGGGUAGGGCUAGGCUAGUGUGGCCAGAAGAUGAUAAUAUUAAGAAGUAUCACUUAGUUAAUUGGAAAACAUGUUGUCUACCAAGGAGGUGGGUGGCUUAGGGAUUCUGAAUUUGGAAUUAAUGAAUAUUUAUUUAUUGGCUAAAUGAUUCUGGAAAAUGGAAACAGAGGAAGGGCCAUGGCAAGAUAUAAUUCAUAGGAAGUAUGGGGGAGAUUGUUGUCUCUCCGGGGCCACAAAAAUACCUGGGGAUUCCCAUUUUUGGUCCAGUUUGAUGAAGGUCAAAGAUUUUUUUUACAGAUUUCUGAAGAAAGAACUAGGGGAUGGGACAAACACCAGAUUUUGGGAAGACAUUUGGGUAGAUGACAAAACUCUGAAAGAAGCUUACCCUAGACUUUACGACCUAUGUUUUGAUCAUAACAUAAUUGUGGCUGAAGCCAUUUAGAAGGGAUGGCAAGGUUUUAGGUUCCGAAGAACACUUUACGGAGACACUUUGGGCUUAUGGAAUAGUUUAAAAAGGAGAUGUGAGGAGAUUGAAAAUAAAGAGGGGAAAGAUAAGAUAAUAUGGACCCUUACAACUGGUAGAAAAUUUCCGGUUAAAUCUCUCUACAGACGGCUGGUGGCUUUUGAUCUUAGAUUUCCACAAAAAAAUUGUGGAAGGUCAAGGUCCUAGCUAAAAUCAAAGUUUUCAUGUGGUUAGUCAACAGGAAAAGUAUAGACACUAGGGACUCUUUAUUAAAAAAAGUUGGAAAGGAGAAAGUAAUUGUGCGUUUUGUGGAAAAGAUGAAUCAGUUGAUCAUUUAUUUUUUACAUGUUCGGCUGCUUCUGUGAUAUGGAGCUUAGUCAAAUGUUCAUUUGGGUUGAGGAAAACUCCUUCAUCAGUUCAAGAAUGCUUUGGAAAGUGGCUAGAUACAUUUCAGACUAAUGAUAAGAAACUAGUUCCAGUAGGAAUUUCUACGUUAUUGUGGGCUUUGUGGAAAUCUAGAAAUGGGAUAAUCUUUGAUAAUAAAAGAAUUUCUGAUCCUAUGACUCUGAUCAAACUAAUGAGCCAUUGGAUGGUGGAUUGGUUGUAAGUGCAUCUAGUGCCCCUUAGUGAUUUUGGUGUAUUGAAGACUUAUAGGUUAAGGGACUGAUGCGUUUGUGAGUGUACACAGGUCUAUAAGUCUAUGAGGAGUUUGGUAUUUACAGAGAAAGUCGAGCCCUAAAAAUGAAUAUCUUCGACUGAAGACUUUUUAUUUCUGAAGACUUUCUGAAGACUUUGAAAGUGAAGAAAUUGGUGUGACCUUGAAGACUUGGUUCAUUCGAGGAACAUGAAGCGUGAAGACUUUUGUUUUCGUAGUUUCAUUUUCUCUUUCUUGAGUCAUAGGAAACAUCGUACUGUUAAAGGGGGUCGAGGAAAUACUAAGGAAAAAUUUCCAAGUGAUGCUCAACUCAAAAUCCUACACCUACCAAUCCCUUCGAGUGAAGCCAUUGGAAAUCUCAUACAGUUCAGUAAAUUUCUUCAGUGACAGAGACGAAGUUCUUCUGGUCUCUGAGGAAUUUGUUCUGACUGAGGAGUUAGGAAUUCGCCAGUGCGGACUGCCUACAAGUGAGGAACAUGAUAGCCCUGAGGAAUUUGAUAGUCAAAUUUCCGACUGUUGCUGUGCUAUGCGCCAGCUGUCCCAAAAUAUCUACCCACCUAACGGUCAUAUCAUUGAAGGGCAUUUAUGUCUUAUCAUGUCGGGCUGCUCCCUAGGCUAUAAAUAGCCGCCCCCUACAACCACUAGCUGGUUGGCUGCUACGAGAGAAACUGACACUUGUCAUUUGAGAGCAUCCCAUCCUCCGAGGACUUUGAGCAAAAAUCAUCAAGUGAGGAAAACCCAAACCCAAACACCUACAAACCUAAAGUGAUUGAGCAUCACUGAAGAGAUUGAUCCUGUGCGGAUCCGACGCUUGUUACCUUUGAAGACUGUGCAUCUUCCAGACGGUUAGGCUUCAUGGUCUAGAGCAUCCAAGAGGAAAUUGUGGAUCGCCGAGUGACCAAGUUUGUGAAGGUUUGGAAGUCACCUGAAGACUUACCACGAGUGAUUGGGCGAGGUCUGUGUGACCUUAGCUCAAGGAGAAUACGGUGAGGACUGUGUGUCCGGGACUGUGUGUCCUCAGGUUUAAAUACCUAGUCGCUCCAACCAGACGUACAACUGUCACAACAGCUGGAACUGGUCUACCAAAUCAUUGUCUUCAAGAAGCCUACCGGUUCUAUUUCUUCAACUCUUUCAUUUCCUCAUUACUGUGUUGUGUGCUUGUUCAUAUCUGUUUGAAGACUUUGACUGAAGACUUUCUCAAUUUCCUCAGUUCAAUUUCUUCAGUCUGUUUGUCUUCAUCCUGUUUUAUCCUGUGCUUAUGCUUCCUGUACUCCGUGUCUGUUUUCAUUUCAUCAUGAUGUCCAUGUUUAUGUUAUGUCAUGUAUGCAUCUGAGUACUUAUUCUGCUGCAAGUAGUUCUUCGCUUAGGAAUUUCCUCACCCUGAAAUUCCUCAGUGAAGAAUUCAUAAAAAAUGCCUAUUCACCCCCCUCUAGUCGACUUAACGCACUAUCAAUUGGUAUCAGAGCAAGGUACUCCCUUGUUCUGUGUGAUUUUGGUUUAACCGCCUGGAGUUUUAGUUAUGUCGAUCGCAGGUAUGAUCAAGGUCUCUGCUGGGUGUCCUACUUUCGAUGGGACGGACUACCCCUACUGGAAAAAUAAUAUGCGAAUGCAUCUUGAGGCAAUUGACAACGAUCUCUGUUAUGUUGUGGAAAAUGGUGUCCCCUCAGUCACACCUUCUGUGAAUGCUGCUGAUGUGAAGAGAUUCAAGCAACUCGAUUCUCAAGCGAAGAACAUCAUAUGUGGCCAUCUGAGUAAAGGGCAUAUGGCAGAGUGAAUGCUUUGGAAACUGCUAAGCUUAUCUGGGAUAGCCUGUCCAAAGUUAAUGAAGGAGUCUCGACACAGCGUGACUCUCGUGUUGACGUUCUUCGCAAUCUCUUCAACUGCUUCAAAAGACUCAACAAUGAAAAUGUUGAACAAACCUUCGAUCGCCUCACUGACAUCCCAAAUGAGCUUCAAGCGCUUGGUGCUACUGACAUCACCGACCAUGAGGUGGUGAAGAAAUUGCUGAGAUCGCUUGAUUCCUCAUUUGACACUCUUGCACUGAUGAUACAAGAAUGUGGAGAUUACAAGUCGCUUGAUCCCGCUGAUAUCCUCGAGAGGCUAAACACUCAUGAGUUCCAGCUUGCUGAGAAGAGAGAUCUCUAUGGUUCGAGCUAUGGCAGAUCACGUGCCCUGAAGGCCAAGGCAGUCUCUAAAUCUGAAGGUGAAGAUUCUGGUAGUAGCCUUGGUGAUCCUGAAGAACUGAGCCAGGAGCUAGCAUUGCUCGUGAAGAAAUUUCAGAACUUCUCAACACGUGGUCGUUUUGGAAAAUCCUCAAGGAGCAAUGAUUCCUCAUCCAGUGACUACAAGAAGAGGCUAUGCCACAAAUGCAAGAAACCUGGUCACUACAUUCAAGAUUGUCCUCAGUGGGAAAAGGAAUCAAAGAAGAAGAAAUACAAGGAUUACAGUUCUCAUGACUCAAAGAGGAAGAAGAAAUCUUCAAAGUCUUCAUCAUCAAAAUCCUCGAAGUCUUCAUCUCACAAGAAGAGCAGCUCUAAGAAGGCUCGGGCAUUCAUUGGCAAGGAAAUGGACUCUGAAGCUGAAUCUGAGGAACAUGAGGAAGAGGAGGCAUCUGAGGAGUCAGAAUCUGGUGUGGCGAGCCUAGCCCUCGCUACUGCGUUCGUCAGCAAGUCCAUCUUCAACACUAAAGAAAAUGGCUUCUACAAAAAGGCUGAUGACGACGAUGAUGACUACACUCCCACCUAUUACUUCAUGGCAAAGGGUGCCAAGGUACUCAAAUAUCCCUCCUCUGAAUCAAGUGAGGAUGAAUCUGAUGUAAACCUCAAGCCUAGCUACUCUAAACUUGCUAAGAUUGCGGUGAAACAACAAAAGGCUUUUGAAAAGGUUCAAAACAUGCUAGACAAAAGUGAUGAUAUGUUGGGUGAAGAAAUGGAUCACACUAAAACCUUGACUGAAAAUCUUCAGAGACUUCAGUCUAAGUUUGACAACCUUCAAAGUCAUCAUAACACUCUCUUAUAUGAUCAUGAGAAGCUUUCUUAUGAAUUCCUUCAAAGAAAGCAAGAUCUUGAAAAGCUAAGGGUGAGUUAUGAAGAUCUUCAGAAGGAGCGCGAUUCAUUACUUGCUCAACAAAUCAGCGCUGCUCAGGAAGAAUUUGUUCCUCCCUGUUUAAAGUGCAUUGAACGUGAAUCUGCUAAUUCUUCACCUGAAUGUUCAAAUGCUUCUUCUGUCACAAUUUCUUCAACUGUAUCUGCUAUCACUAAUUCCUCAUCUGAGGAUAUUGCUAGUAUCACUGAUGAUGCAGGGCUAAAGGAAUUGUAUGUGACAUGCAUGUACAAAAGCCUCAAAGGGCAUCAGGCACUUUGUGAUGUGCUUAAAAAGCAGAUCCUCAACAGGAGCCCUAGGAAAGAGAGUAUUGCCUUCGAGAGGAAACUCAAUGCUGAUGGAACAUACUGGAAGCCUAAGCAGUACCCCAAAACCUCAUGGGUUGCUGUGAAGGGACCUCCAGUAGAUCCAUCUACUCUAUCUGGCUUUACAUGUGAAUCUCCUCAUUCUUCUGAUGAGUCAUUUGACUCCAACUAUAAACUUUUCAAAAAUUAGAAUGUGAAGUAUUUGCUAGAUAUGUUGGCACUAACUGCAGGAACGGUUCCCCUAUGAAGAAAAUCUGGGUUCCCAAAAGGUGCCUUGAAAAUCUUCAGGUGAAUGUCAUCAUGACACCACCUGUGAAGAAUAGGAACCCCAGAUCAAAUUCUUCAUAUGGAUCCAAGUCCUCAUACGGACCAAAUUCCUCAUGUGGAUCAAAUUCCUCAAAAGGAUCAAAGUCCUCAUAUGAACUUCAUCGUGCUAACACUUCUGUUUCGUAGGGAAGAUUUAAGGGCUAUGAAUAUGAGCACUAUUCUUCUAACCAUUAUGUUCAUAAAUCCUCAAAGAAUUUCUCUGCUUAUUCAUAUGCUUACCCUAACUCCUCUUAUGUGAAACGAAGUGGAUUGGCUUCAAUGCCACCGUUCUCUUAUGGAGCUCGCAGAAUGAUGAACUCUUUGCCACCCCUUCAGAUGUGGGUGGUGAAGAAAAAGAACUAAUCUCUUAUGCAGGGUCAGGUCUCCAGACGUGAUUAAACGUCUGAAGAAUUUGCUGGAGACCUGAAAAUUACCUGAAAGGACGCAGGCUAAUCAUGAAGAAAUGAAUCCUCAUUUCUCACGUCCUCAUACUGAUUUAUCUGUUUUAUUGCUUGAUGAAAUUGAUCUGAUGAAUUGAUGUCAUAUUCUUCACUGAUGAAGUAUAUGGGUUCGUAAGUUGCACUAAUUCAUCUGCAGGAUGAUCUACCCAAAGCCACUGAGUGGGUCCUCGGUAGUGGAUGUACUAAUCACAUGACUGGUGACAAGAAUCUAUUGAUGGACGUUCCCUUAUCUCCAUCGCAUCUAAAGCAUAUCAUCUUCGCUGACAAAGGCAAAAGCAAGGUAUUGGGUCUAGGUAAGGUUGCGAUCUCAAAGGAUCGACACAUGCACAAAGUCAUGCUUGUUGAGUCCUUAGGAUACAACCUCAUGUCAGUCUCAAUGCUCUGUGAUCUUGAUAUGGUUGUUAUCUUUGGCAAGUAUCAUUGUGUUGUGAUCAUGGAAGCUGAAAAUUCCGAAGUCUUCGAAGGCUUUAGGAGAGGAGAUCUGUAUAUUGUUGAUUUCUCUACAGGACCACAACCAGCUAUAUGUCUACUUGCAAAAGCUUCAGAAGGCUGGCUAUGGCAUCAACGACUAGGUCAUGCUGGCAUGAGGAACUUGCACACGCUCGCAAAGAAGAAGCAUGUCAUUGGCAUUGAGAAUGUCAAAUUCCUCAAGGAUCACUUGUGCGGAGCCUGUGAAGCUGGAAAGAUGACCAAGGCCAAACAUCCAGCGAAGACUAUCAUGACUACCACUCGACCAUUUGAAUUGCUUCACAUGGAUCUCUUUGGUCCUAACCAUUACUCUGCAUUCACUAAUGAAGCAUCUCUAUAUGGCUUUGUUAUUGUUGAUGAUUACUCUCGUUACACAUGGGUGCAUAUUGUCACUUACAAAAGUGAAGUGCAGGAAGUCUUCAAACGAUUUUCCUCGAGGGCUUCAACCAACUUUGGUGUGAAGAUCAAGCACAUCAGAAGUGCCAAUGGAACUGAGUUCAAGAAUACUGGUCUUGAUGACUAUCUUGAUGAACUUGGUAUUACUCAUGAGUUAUCUGCUCCUUAUACUCCUCAGCAGAAUGGCGUCGUGGAGCGCAAGAACAGGACUCUUGUUGAGAUGGAUCACACUAUGCUUGAUGAAUACAAGACGCCUCGUCAUUUCUGGAUUGAGGCAAUUGAUACUGCGUGCCACAUCAUCAACAGGGUAUAUCUUCACAAAUUCUUCAAGAAGACUGCAUACGAACUCCUCACUGACAAGAAACCCAACGUGAGUUAUUUCAAAGUCUUCGGUGCUAAAUGUUGGAUUAGAGAUCCUCAUCACAAUUCUAAUUUUGCACCGAAAGCACAUGAAGGUUUUAUGCUUGGUUACGGAAAGGACUCGCACACCUACAGAGUCUUCAACAACGUUCAUCACAAGGUUGUUGAAACUGUAGAUGUGCGGUUCGAUGAAACUAAUGGCUCGCAAAGAGAGCACCUACCUCCUGUGCUAGAUGUAAAAUCACCCGAGGAAUCCAUCAAGUUCAAGGCUACUGAGGAUGUCAUUCAUACCGAAGAAUCUUCUGAAGAAGUCAUUCCAGAAUGUGAAGAACAUCAUGCUGAUGCACCUGAGGAAAAUGGUGCUGAAGAAAAUGCUGAUCCAAUUCCUCAACGACAACCUGCUCAUCCUCGCGUUGCAAAUGAAGUGCAGAUUGAGAAAAUCAUCAGUGACAUCAACAUUCCAGGUUCUCUCACACGCUCAAGAGCUUCACAUUUGUCUAACUUUUGUGGGCACUUUGCUUUUGUUUCUAUCACAGAGCCCACUAAGGUAGAUGAAGCAUUUCUGGAGCCUGAGUGGAUUCAAGCUAUGCAAGAGGAAUUACAUCAAUUCGAGCUCAACAACGUCUGGGAACUGGUCAAACGUCCAGAUCCCCGCAAGCACAAUAUCAUUGGCACAAAGUGGAUCUAUCACAACAAACAAGAUGAAAAUGGCCUUGUGGUGAGGAAUAAGGCACGACUUGUAGCUCAAGGCUACACACAGGUUGAAGGAAUUGAUUUCGAUGAAACUUUUGCACCUGUUGCUAGACUUGAGGCUAUUCGCAUAUUACUUGCUUAUUUUAACCAUCAUGGUAUCAUCUUAUAUCAAAUGGAUGUGAAAAGUGCAUUCCUCAAUGGUAAGCUUGAGGAAGAAGUAUAUGUUGCUCAACCCCCAGGUUUUGAAGAUCCAAAGCAUCCCGACAAAGUCUUCAGACUCAAUAAGGCCCUCUAUGGCCUCAAGCAGGCCCCUCGGGCGUGGUAUGAUACUUUGAAGGAAUUCCUCAUGAAGAAAGGCUUCAAACCCGAUUCACUUGACCCAACUCUUUUCACUAAAUCUUAUGAUGGUGAAUUAUUUGUGUGCCAAAUAUAUGUUGAUGAUAUCAUUUUUGGCUGUACUGACCAACGUCACAGUGAUGAAUUUGCCUAUAUGAUGAGUGAAGAAUAUCAAAUGUCUAUGAUGGGAGAAUUGAAAUUCUUCUUAGGUCUUCAAAUUCGUCAACAGUGCAAUGGCAUAUUCAUAUUUCAGGAGAAAUACCUCAAGGAUGUAUUGAGGAAAUUCGGCAUGCAAGAUUGCAAAGGGGUCAAAAUCCCCAUGCCCACAAAUGGCCAUCUAUGCACUGAUGAAAAUGGUAUUGACUUCGAUCAAAAGGUAUACCGCUCCAUGAUUGGUUAUUUAUUGUACUUAUGUGCAUCUAGGCCAGAUAUUAUGCUUAGUGUUUGCAUGUGUGCCCGAUGUCAAGCUACACCGAAGGAUCACACCAUAAGGCUGUGAAGCAUAUUCUUCGAUAUCUAGCUCACACACCAACAUUUGGAUUAUGGUAUCCCAAGGGCUCGGCUUUUGAUCUCAUUGGAUAUUCAGACUCUAACAAUGCUGGUAAUUGUGUGGACCGCAAGUCAACAUCAGGCACAUGCCAUUUCCUCGGACGAUCCUUGGUCUGUUGGUCCUCGAAGAAACAGAACCGCGUAUCACUGUCUACUGCUGAAGCUGAGUACAUUCUGCUGGUUCUUGCUGUGCUCAAUUGCUAUGGAUGAAGCAAACUCUCAAGGACUACGACGUCAACAUGAAGAAUGUGCCUCUCUACUGCGACAAUGAGAGUGCAAUCAAGAUUGCUCAUAACCCAGUUCAGCACUCAAAGACAAAGCACAUUCAGAUUCGUCAUCAUUUUCUUUGUGAUCAUGUGUCGAAGGGCGACAUUUCUAUUGAGCAUGUGAAGACCGAAGAACAGCUAGCCGAUAUCUUCACAAAGCCCUUGGAUGAGAAGAGAUUUAGCAAGUUGCGGUGUGAGCUAAAUAUCCUAGAAUCCUCGAAUGUCCUUUGAUAAGGACACACAUCCUAACACUUAUGCAAAAUUGAUGACUUAGAUGUGCAACACACGAAGAAACGUUUUUCUUCAAUCAAUGAAGACUAACACUGUGUGAAGAAAUUAAUGAAGAAUUUGAUUCUCAGAGCCCUAUGACAAUUGUACGCGGUGUCUGAAAUCAUCAUUCUUACACGGUGGGUCACGCCACCACCAAAAGUUGAAAAUCUUCAAAUUGAGUUUUUUAUUUAUUUCUGAAAUUCCUCAGUUGUUCAACUUCUUCAACUUUGCAAUGUCUUCACCGUUUCCGUCGUUUUUCUUCAUUGGCUAUAUAUAUAGGACAACACUAUUCUAAUCCUGGGAUUAGAAUAACUAUUUGGAUCACAGUCAGCCCUAUAAAGGCCCGAGGGGACGUUCCCGAACUUCUGAACCGGGCAGCAACAAACAAACAAAGGAAAAAAAACCACCCCACCUCCCCCGAUCCAGAUCCCCCACCUCCCUCCCGCACCUCCUGCCCAAACCGGCCGAUGCCCACCACCCGCCCAGAUCGAUGCCCACCACCCGCCCCAGAUCGAUUCGCCGCCCGCCCCCGCCCCAACCGGCGCCGCCGGCCCUGCGCCGUUCNNNNNNNNNNNNNNNNNNNNNNNNNNNNNNNNNNNNNNNNNNNNNNNNNNNNNNNNNNNNNNNNNNNNNNNNNNNNNNNNNNNNNNNNNNNNNNNNNNNNNNNNNNNNNNNNNNNNNNNNNNNNNNNNNNNNNNNNNNNNNNNNNNNNNNNNNNNNNNNNNNNNNNNNNNNNNNNNNNNNNNNNNNNNNNNNNNNNNNNNNNNNNNNNNNNNNNNNNNNNNNNNNNNNNNNNNNNNNNNNNNNNNNNNNNNNNNNNNNNNNNNNNNNNNNNNNNNNNNNNNNNNNNNNNNNNNNNNNNNNNNNNNNNNNNNNNNNNNNNNNNNNNNNNNNNNNNNNNNNNNNNNNNNNNNNNNNNNNNNNNNNNNNNNNNNNNNNNNNNNNNNNNNNNNNNNNNNNNNNNNNNNNNNNNNNNNNNNNNNNNNNNNNNNNNNNNNNNNNNNNNNNNNNNNNNNNNNNNNNNNNNNNNNNNNNNNNNNNNNNNNNNNNNNNNNNNNNNNNNNNNNNNNNNNNNNNNNNNNNNNNNNNNNNNNAGUCACAUGCGAGCUCCUGCACUAUUGCCGACCCGUCGAAGUUUUUGCGUUGCUACAACACGGCGGAGAGGGGUCACCGCCUCCCCGAGCUUCUCUCUCCCCUCACCUCAUCCCCUGUCCUCAAGAGAGGCGCAACGACAUAGAGGGAUCGGCGUUGAACAAAUCAUGCUGUAUGCCAAGUUCAACCAGAGCGACUACUGCAGUUCGGCCUACUUAACAAGGGCGUUUAAAAGCAGAUGAUGCCCUAUAGUAAAUGCUUUCUUUGCUGUUGUACUCCAUCGGUACUAGCUUGAAUCUGAACAAUUUCAUACAAAUGGUCAUUUUGCAAGUUACUGAGCAUGUCGUUCUCUUCUUAUGCCCAUGAUGCAACCCCUGUAUUUUUUUGGAUGAGUUUGGUGAUGUGGCUGUCUUUGGAUGCAGCAACACAACCUAUGGGUACGGUUGGUGAUGCAGCUAUGGAUAUUGUGCGUGAUGCUGCUACUAUGUGCAACAAGGGAUUUGCUUUGAUCCUAAAAAAUGUAUUUGGACAAAGAGUUCCCACAAAAAAGAAUGUUUGGUAGGUCAGAUACAAAAACGACUGAAGUUCAAAAUGAUAGUAGAGCGUGAUACAAAAAAAGGAGAACUUUGUAAUAAAAUAUUAAUUGAACCAGAAAAGAAGAUAACACUGAAAGUAUGUGUGUGAUGCAGGCAUAGUACUAGUUGUACAUAAUAGCUCCCCACCGCACACCCAGGGAGAUGCCAAAACAACCAAUAGAGCUCCACCGUGACCAUCACUAUAGAACUUGUGUUGCACCUGAAGUUCAAUACAAGAAGUAUGUGUGUUUCAUAAGUUUAAUAAUUUCUAAAAAAAAUCAUUGAAGUUCAAAUUUAAAUAAUAGGGCGGACCAAUGUUUAUUACAAACCUGUGAUUUUCCGCGUUAUUAUAGAAUAAACCAAGACGUUCAAAAAUAAAAAAUGGAGCAGUUCGAUAAGUUUAUAAAAAAUGGCAUUUCACCAUUUUACUAAACAAUUGGAGAAGUUCAAAUUUAAAUAACAUAGAAGUUCAAAAUGUUUAUUCCAAAACCAAGAACGCUAAAUUAAAAAAUCGAUUGUUUUAAAAAAGUUUGUAAACAUGGAUUUGCCCCCUUUUUUUAAGAUCUGGAAGUUCAAAUUUAAAUAAGUGAGUGGUUCGAUGUUUAUUACAUAACUAGGACUUUUCCCUUUACUAAUGAAUAACACCAAGAAGUCCUAAUUAAAAAAUGAAGUUAUUUGAUGUUUAUAAAAAAUCUUAGAUUUUGCUCGAUACUAAAGAUUAAAAUCAAGAAUUUCAAUUUUAAAAAACGGAGUAGUUCAAUGCAUAUUAAAAACACAGUUUUUUCUCGUUACUAAAGAAAUAAAGCCAAGAAGUUAAAAUUUAAAAAGCAGAGCAGUUUGAUAUUUAUUUGAAAACUCGGUUUCUUCGGUUACUAAAAAAUAACACCAAUAAGAUCUAUUCGAAAUAAUGAAGAAAUUCAAUGUUUCUAACAAAACUCCAAUUUUCACAUUCCUAAAAAGCACACAAAGAAGUUGAAAAAAAAGUUUGAGCGGUUCGAUGUCUAUAAAAAACUCAGAUUUUUUUCGUUACUAAAGUGAAAUAGGGUGACGUUCAAAUUGACAACAGACGGAAGUUCACGUACUGCAUGGUGUGUCUUUCGUAUGAGAAAAUAAGAGUAAAUAGGCAAAGUCCAAAAUUGUUGUUGCUAGAAGUUCAAGUGCACAGACCGGGAAAGUUCAAAGAGUUCCUCCUAUUCAACAAGUUUCCACAACGGAAGCUCAAAUUAAAAUAACAAAAAAUAGUUUAGAAAAAUUAGUUAGAAAAAGAAUGUGGAGGGGUAUGACAAAACUAGGAUAUUUUGAUGCUAAAAGAAAUAAACCAAGAAGUCCAAAUUAUAAAAAAAAUAGAAGUUCAAUAUAUAUAAAAACACAGGUUUUCUUCGUUACUAAAGAAUAAAAUUAAAAAAGUUCAAAUUAAAAUAAAAGGAGUAGUUUGAUGUUUACGGAAAACUCAAAUUCUUUCCAUUUCUAGGAAAAAUGAAAGUAUGAAGUUCAAUUUAAAAAUAAAAGUUUGAUGCUUAUUUGAAACUUUUUUUCCAAACAAUAAGACUAAGAAGUUCAAUUUGAAAUAACAGAGAAGUUCAAAUUAUAUAAAAAACUAAGAUUUGUUGCAAGAAGUUCACGUGCACCUCCGUGCACUGUUCAAAAUUUAUAUUACGGGACGUUCGACCUCCAAUUACAUGUUUUAAAAUGACCAAAAAUGACGUUCGACCUUCAAUUGUGUGUAAUUCGACGUAUACACAAAAAUGUGACAGAAGUUCAUAGUAAAAUCAGUGAGAAGUUCAAGUACUGCAAGGAAUGUAUUUCACGUGAGAAUAAAAGUAUAGAAAAAUAAAAGUUUAAAAGGUUUGUUGACAGAAGUUCAAGUGCUCUAUCCGAGGAAGUUAAAAAAUUCUUGCGAGAGAUAUUCACCAUGUAUUUCCAUGUUCAAAAACACAAAAAAGAUCCUUUUUUUGCAUUUUAAAAAUAAUUCUCUCAAUCCACAAAGAAGUUCAGUUAUUAUUUGGGAGCAAUUUGAUUUCAAAAAGAAAAUCAAAAAAUCAAAUGAUAAAACGGAAAAAGUUCAUGUACUACGUGGUGUGUGUUUAAUAUGAGAAAAUGAAUAAAAAGGCAAGGUCCAAAUUUUUUGUUGCUACAAGUUCAAGUCCUUGGUCGGAGAAAGUUAAAAAUUUAUUGUGAGAGAGGUUUUGCAAAAGAAAUAUCAUUUGUCUAACACUGCCGAAUGGAUGCGAAAAUUAUAAACAAAAAUACAUCACAGAAGUUCAACGUGAAAACAACACGAAGUUCGACUACUAUAGUGAAUGAAUUUGAGAUGAAAACUUUUUAAAUUGUCGCGAGUAUGAAAAAAAAGAUCAACAUGGGAAACUUGCGUGUUUACAGCAGCUUUCCAUCGGUAUAUCACUUGCUCAAUUCCGGUGAGUGGAUGGAGAGUUACGAGCAGUGGAUGGAGAUCUACAAGCAAAAAAAGCACAUGAAAAACAGAGUGAAGUCCAAGUAGACAUGCCGAGAAGUUCAGGUCAUUCACGUGGUGCAUUUUUGAAGAAUCUGUUUCGCGAUAAAGACAGAACGAAUGAUCUCGCCAUUUUCAAAAUUACUUGAAAACGGCUAGGAAUCACAGAAAAGCAUCAACAUGAAUAAGUUUCACAUUUUCCUUAGCUUUUCAAAGGUAUAUUAUUUGCCCCAUUCCGAUAAAGUUUGUAGACAUGACGGCGAAAAUAUGUUUUUAGCCAUUUUUAAAAUUGACUUAAAACAGUAAGGAAUUGGGAGAAACAAUAUACAUCAAAAAGUUUUGCAUUUCCUCAAGCUUUCCAACGCCAUAUCAUUUGCUGCAUUCGGACAUACGGUUAAAAAAAUAGAUUUAAAAUACAAACUCGGUGGAACUUGUACCAUUUUCUAAAUUACUCUUAAACCGUUCAAAAUAGAAAAAACUUUCUACAUGAAAAAAUAGCGCAUUUUCAUAAGCUUUCCAACGCCAUAUCAUUUGCCUCAAUUGGAUUAGCCGUUUAGAAAUGACAUCGAAAAUACGAACUCGGCUGUUUGGUUUGCAAAAUUUUACGAUUUUCCAAAUUACUCUUUAACCGUAGGGAAUUAGAGAAAACUUUCAACAUGUGGAAGGAGCGGUUUUGCAGCAGCUUUCCAAUGCCAUAUUAUUUGCCUCAUUCCGAUAAAUGGUUUAGAAAGGCGAUCGAAAAUAUGAUUCAUGUUUUUUGUAUGAAGAAAAAACGGUUUUCAAAACUGCUCUUAAACCGCUUACAUUUUGCCAAAAAUUUAACUUGGGUCAUGAUACUGGUGUCCAUAGCUUUCCAACGGUAUAUUGCAAGCCCCAAUUGGGCAAUGUUGGCGGAAGUUCAACCUAGCACUCAGAGAAGUUCAGGUCGAACAACUCAGGUAGUAAAAUUGAAAAAAAACGCAAUUUCAUCACGACCCGAGAGCAAAAUCCGCCAACGGGCGAGAUUCCUAUUUAAAACCGGUAUUUAGUUGCUAAAAACGUUUCUAGAUUACACUAACAUCAUAUAGAACACGACUAACAAGAAUAAUUCGCGGGGGAAGCCACGGUUGCGAAGAUAGCCCGAAGGUCGGGUUCGUAUAGAGGGAAGUUCAGGCGCGUUACUCAGGCUAUUUCCUCAAGUUGCCUUUUCUGCUAAGUGAAUGUGAUCGGACCCUUCCCCCACUAUGCUAAACUCAACCCAAUCUAUUCACAAAUUCUUCAUGCGCGUUCUAUUUGAAACUCGUUCAAAAUCUUCACUGUGUCCUUGUCAGCUGAAGAAUUUGCGAACGAAACUUUAAAAUUGAUCUUAUCUGAAUUUUCGGCGUUUGCCGCUCAAACCGUUCCACAUUCCACUAAACGAUUAUCUAUUCACCCACGAUCUCGCACGAUCGCCACCUCUCAGUACGUGGGUGACACAUGUCACGAGAAUGAGAAAGGUCAGGGACACGUUCGUCCAAUUUCUUCGGGCGAACAGUUUUUCACUUCGGCUAUAAAUACCCCCUUCCUUCCUCACUUCGUUUUUACUCCGCUCGACCUCACUACCUUGCUCGAGCUCUCAAACCCUAGCGCUGCCGCUACUUCCAUCGUCGCCGGUGAGGAAGAGCUUCACUGCCUCGACCUCGUCGCCGUCGUACUCACGCCGGCUGCGGAUUUCUUCACUCCGCCGCCGCCGUAGCUGUCUUCCUCAGCCAAGUUAGGGCGUGGAAGAUCUGAACUGACGAACUUCUAAAUCUACACUUCACAGUUCGUCGUGUUCUUCAUCAAGGGUAAUUAAAAGCUACUUUUACUACCCUUGUUGAUUCUGAUGUUUUCAACAAAAUCUUCAAAAGGUGUUUAUUCAUCAAAUCUUCACACACUAGACACCUCACAUAACAUCUGUUCUUGAUAUGUUUCCCUAAGCAACAUUUUUCUUCAAGAUUCCUCAAUUGUGUGGAUUUUCAAUCUGUACAACUCUAGAACCUAAGACAAAGAACGCUUAGUGAAAUUCUUCAAGACUCAUCUGGUCAAAUUCCUAAACUUGUUCUUUUUGCAAAAACUUCUGAGAACGCAUAUGACCUCUAUAAAUUCUUUGCAACUAUAUUCUGUUCACAGGUACACAUGUCCGCUGCUGAAUCUCUAGGUUUUCAUCAACUUAACUCAUUUGCAGUGUUCCUCAAAGAAAAGUUGCACACCUCUUCAGAGAAUUCUAUUGUUCAAAUUCCUCAGCUGAAGAAAAUGGCUGACGGCAAGAGACCUCAGAAGGGAGGGAAGAAAUUGGAAGCCAACACAUCAUUUGAAAUCCCUGAGGAUAUCUAUGAUGAAUAUUGCACUCCUGAUGCGGCCAAACAUGGCAAGGAGACAAAGAAUGAUCGCAAAGUGCGCAUUCAGAGGAUAGAGAGGAGAUGGGCCAGAGAAUGGAGGGAAUAUCGCUAUGUUACACCCAAGUACAUGAAGAAAUUCGCCGUACACCCUCCAUGCCCAAGACCUCCAUUGGCACCUGGCCAAGAAGCUGAUCCCUCAAGCAUCAGAAGAGGUGAGGAAUUUCCAAAGGAAUGGGCUAAGCGCCAGGCCAAGCUAGCCAAAAUGGCUAAGGAAGCAGUGAGGAAAUUUAAUGAAGACUCUGCUGCUGCUACCACUGCUGAGGCCUAUGCAAGCAAGCCUAAGAAGGCCAUGCCCAAGAAGCCUGCUCACAAGCCCAGUGCUUCAACUUCUAUGCCCUCACGGCCAAGCUCCUCAGAAAUGCCCUCACGGCCAAGUUCUUCAAAGCCCUCACGUCAAAUUCCUCAAGCUGCACCAGCUCCUCCAAAGUCCCCAGCUCCUCCGUCAAAAUCCUCAGCACCUGUGCAUCUUGCCUCGUGCCAAAGGACAACAGGCAUCUCCAUUGCCUCAGGAGCCUAUGCUAGUUCUUCUCCUCCUCCAAAUUCCUCAACUGGCCCCACUCUGUUGAAGACAAAGGCCACUGCUGGACGAGGCUCUCGACCAAGUCCUCACAAGAAGCAGGUCACCUUUCACAUGUCGUCUGAUGAAGACGAAGCUGAUGAUGAAGAACUUGCUGAAACCAUCAGAGACAGGCAGCACAGGGCCGCUAGAGCAAAAGGCUCAAAUGUACCUCUGCUUUUGGAUCCAAAGCUGAUCCUUGAGUACAUUGAUCUCUGGCACAAGGACCCUAACACUCCUAUGCCUGACUUCAAUCUUACUCCUGGUCAAAGUCACGUGCUUUCCGCCUUCAUAGGCGAAGAAAAAUGGAAAUUCAAGAAGGCCAGGCAGUUGAAGAAAGCGCAGUACAAGAAGGAGCGCCUUCUGAAGAAGAACAUAGUGAAAAUGACCACUGAUGAACUCAUUGCUGCUCAAACUGAGAUCAAAAACCUCAGUGAUGAAUUUGACACCUACCGUGCAGACUGGCUUGGAGCCAAAGUCAGAUUUGUCAAAUUGGCAAAAGGAUUUUCUUCAAAUGUUGCUCCAAUGCACAUUGAAAUUCCUCAGGCUGAAGCAUCUGCCCAGCCGACUGAAGAACAUGCCAACACCGCUGAUGAAAAUCAGGCUGCUGAUGAAACUGCUAGCACCAGGGCUGAUGACUGCAUUCCAGCCGCUGAUGAAACUACCAGGGCAACCACUAGUGUUGCGCCUAAAGUAAUAGUUAGGCCAACUGAAGCUUCAACCGCUGUGCCUGAAGAAACUGAUCAUGCCAGGGCAACUGCAUCAGUUGUGGCUGAAGUUAUUGAACCAAUUUCCUCUGCUCCUCCUGCAUCUACCCCAAAUCCAAUUCUUCCUUCUGCAUCAGAUGUGAAGAAGACCAAGGCUGCGGAGCAUGCAGCUGUGAAGAAAAGGAAAGCAUCAACUUCAUCAGAAACUUCAGCUCCGAAGAAGAUGAAGAAAUUGACCAGCUCUUUUGAGAAUCCGAUUGAUGUUGUUCCAGUCUCAAGCAUGCCAUCAAAGGAACUCGUUCCUUUUGAUGAAGAAUAUGUGAUCCCAAGCGGAUCCGAUGACGAUAUUCCUUCUGCUGCUUCUUCAGAGCAGUUGGAUGAAGAAAUUGAAGUGGAUGCCAUCCCUUCAACCCCGGUUGUCUCAUCGCCCAUGCCUCAGUUCACUGCUGAAGAGGCCGGCGUUGAAGAAAUGAAUGAAGAAGAAGAAGAAUUGGACAUUGGAAGCACCACUCCAGUGAUGAAUGAUGACUUUUGGGAAAGUCAGCACCCCAAUUCUCCUAUGUACACACCUCUGCAACAAAUUCCUCAGUCCCCAGUGAAUACUGAAGUUCAAAUGGGAUCUGAAGAACCACACCCCACUCCAUCUAUUCUUCACUGCUUUUCAACAAUGGGAUUCCAGCCACUAGUGUUGAUGUUAAUAUUGAUGAAGAAUUGAAGACCCAGGCUACCACUGAAGAAGAACCUGAAAUUCCUCAGCCUGUGGAUCCUGAGAUUGCAGUUCUUGAGGUUGUGAUGCAAUUGACUGAUACUCCUCAGCCCAAGCCAAAGGAUCCCUUCUCGAAGAAGCAAAAAUUCAAGGCUGAUGACUUCUUCGGCGAGCAUGUGUUCUUCACCGAGUAUAACCCAUAUGACUCUGCUCGUCUUAGAAGGAAGCGUUUCUGGACUGCCAGCCAAGCCAACUUCUAUUCUUCACUGCUUUUCAACAAAGACAAAGUCUUCGACCAUGAGCAUAUUCCUCACGUGGACAUGGAAUCACUGCCUUGCUUCACGCCAGUCCUCAGUGUUCUUCAUGACGCUGGACUGCUCAACUUUUGCACUGACAUUGUUGACUGGAAUGAAGCUAAUUCUUCAGUUCUAUGCAACGCUGCACAUCACAGGAGAUGCUAAUGAUGUGAACUCUUGGGUAUUGGACUGGAUGACAGAGAAUACUCACUACAAAGCACCGGCCUCUGAAUUGCUUCAUGCCCUGCCUGUCAGUCCUCCCCUUGAAGGUGCUCGCUGCCUAUACCAUGAACCUGAACUUACCGCUCACUACAUGCAAGUGUUGAUGAAGCCGCUGAAGCCCGGUCAAGCCCCAAGGACCAAAUUUCUCGUGAAGGAAUUGUUGUAUGUGCCUAGGACCGUCUAUCGCAUUCUGACGAAGACAUUGAGUCCAAUCAAAGGCCAUGACUCGAAUGAUGACAAAGUCGUUGGCAUCAUGAAGAAUAUGCUUUUCAAUAUCAUACAUGGCAUUCCUGUCAACUACCAUGAUUUCUUCAUGAGGACUCUGGCAAAUGUUGCACUCUCUCCAUUUGAUUUGAAGCCUUAUGCUCCUUGGAUUAUGAGAUUCCUCAGAACAAGGUCUUCACUCAACUACAAGGCUGAUUUUCAAAAUCAUCUCAGCUACCUGCCCCCAUUGAAGUCCUCAAACGGACAUUUUCCUCAGCUGAUGAAAAGGGCAAGGCCGCUGCUGUUAUUGAUGAAGGCAUUAGUCCAUUGGACGGUCAGUUCCGCAGAGCUGCCUCUUACUCCACCAAUGAUGACUCUGUCACUCAUGACUCUGCCGCACAUGCUUCAAAGCAAAAUCCUCAAGGCACAGCUCCGCGGGUAAUGACUGAUCGUGAGCUUCUCCUCAGUCUUCACCAGAAGGUGGAUCGCAACCACAAAUGGGUUAAGCAUCAAUUUGGUUCUAUUCUUCACAACGUGACUGCUACACACAAUGCAGUGAAGAAAAACCAUCUAUACCUCCAUGAAGUCUUCGGUCGCACCUGGGCUAUUCUAUCACAUCUGUAUGGCGAAGAAGAUCUGAAGCAAAUGGGUCUCAAGCAGGACUUUGACUGGUCUCAGCCACCACCGAAGAAAUACAAGAAGGUCAAAGUUCCCUCCUUGGUGGCCAGCUCAUAUUCUUCAUCGCGCGACACGGACGAGCAUGAAGACUUGGACGACACUGCGGCAGGCCCUACUACAACAACCGACCCCAACAAUGUCGGCGCUCCUCCAUCAACUUGAUAUUCCUCAGGGGCGUUAGUCCUCAUUUUUCGAUACUUUUGGUCAUUCGAUGACAAAGGGGGAGAAAUUUGAGUUAGUCUUCAAGCGGGUCUACCUAUAUGGGCGUUUUUUUGCUAAGUUACAACUCUCGUUCUUUUGAAGACUUUGCUGAUCGAGUUGUAAACUUAAACUCUAUGGUGGUCUGAUACUUUUGCUGUGUUAUUCUGCAUGCUUAUUCCUCAUUAAUGUUAAUGCAUGCAUGCUGAAUUACAUCAGUCACCAUAUUUCAUCAUGCAUUUCAAAUUCUUCAUGUUAUAUGUUAAGAUAUAGGGGGAGAUCUCCAUAAUUCUACUCUUCAAGUGUGCAAUGCUUCAAAAGAAAAUUCCUCACUAUGCACAUCUUCAGAGAGAGUUCUUCUAUAUCUUGAAAUCAAAUUCCACAUUAUCAGUAUUUACACUUCAUAUGUUUAUCCCCAUUGAAAACUUAACCUAUAUUGUCAUCAAUCACCAAAAAGGGGGAGAUUGUAAGUGCAUCUAGUGCCCCUUAGUGAUUUUGGUGUAUUGAAGACUUAUAGGUUAAGGACUGAUGCGUUUGUGAGUGUACACAGGUCUAUAUGUCUAUGAGGAGUCUGGUAUUUACAGAGAAAGUCGACCCCUAAAAAUGAAGUUCUUCGACUGAAGACUUUGGAUUUCUGAAGACUUUAUGAAGACUUUGAAAGUGAAGAAAUUGGUGUGACCUUGAAGACUUGGUAUUCAUCGAGGAACAUGAAGCGUGAAGACUUUUGUUUUCGUAGUUUCAUUUUCUCUUUCUUGAGUCAUAGGAAACACCGUACUGUUAAAGGGGGUCGAGGAAAUACUAAGGAAAAAUUUCCAUGUGAUGCUCAACUCAAAAUCCUACACCUACCAAUCCCUUCGAGUGAAGCCAUUGGAAAUCUCAUAUAGUUCAGUCAUAUUCUUCAGUGACAGAGACGAAGUUGUUCUGGUCUUUGAGGAAUUUGUUCUGACUGAGGAGUUAGGAAUUCGCCAGUGCGGAUUGCCUACACAGUGAGGAACAUGAUAGCCCUGAGGAAUUUGAGCCUCAAAUAUCCGACCAUUGCUGUGCUAUGCGCCAGCUGUCCCAAAAUAUCUACCCACCUAACGGUCAUAUCAUUGAAGGGCAUUUAUGUCUUAUCAUGUCGGGCUGCUCCCUAGGCUAUAAAUAGCCGCCCCCUACAACCACUAGCUGGUUGGCUGCUCCGAGAGAAACUGACACUUGUCAUUUGAGAGCAUCCCAUCCUCCGAGGACUUUGAGCGAAAAUCAUCAAGUGAGUAAAACCCAAACCCAAACACCUACAAACCCAAAGUGAUUGAGCAUCACUGAAGAGAUUGAUCCUGCGUGGAUCCGACGCUUGUUACCUUUAAAGACUGUGCAUCUUCCAGACGGUUAGGCGUCAUGGUCUAGAGCAUUCAAGAGGAAAUUGUGGAUCGCCGAGUGACCGAGUUUGUGAAGGUUUGGAAGUCCCCUAAAGACUUACCACGAGUGAUUGGGCGAGGUCUGUGUGACCUUAACUCAAGGAGAAUACGGUGAGGACUGUGUGUCCUCAGGUUUAAAUACCUAGCCGCUCCAACCAGACGUACAACUGUCACAAUAGUUGGAACUGGUCUACCAAAUCAUUGUCUUCACCAAGCCUAAUGGUUCUAUUUCUUCAACUCUUUCAUUUCCUCAUUACUGUGUUGUGUGCUUGUUCAUAUCUGUUUGAAGACUUUGAUUUAAGACUUUCUCAAUUUCCUCAGUUCAAUUUCUUCAGUCUGUUUGUCUUCAUCCUGUAUUAUCCUGUGCUUACGCUUCCUGUACUCUGUGUCUGUUUUCAUUUCAUCAUGAUGUCCAUGUUUAUGUUAUGUCAUGUAUGCAUCUGAGUACUUAUUCCGCUGCAAGUAGUUCUUCGCUUAGGAAUUUCCUCACCCUGAAAUUCCUCGGUGAAGAAUUCAUAAAAAUCGCCUAUUCACCCCCCCCCCCUCUAGUCGACUUAACGCACUUUCAUUGGUCUAUUUUGCAGAUAAAGUAGCAACGAAGAAAGGCACUGGAGCUGGGGGCAAAACUACUAGAACGAGUAGCAAGUGAGGUCUAUGCAGCCUCACAAGGGUGGAGGAUCAAUGUGGCUCGACUGGAAUGAAAAAAAGCUCCUCUCUGCGAUGGCUGACAGACUUCAUUUGGCUACCUAUCUUCUAGUGGUUAUCUUUUGGAGUUUGAGGCCCUUAGCCUGGAUGAAUGUAUGAUAUUAAAAACAAGUUUGAUGUAGUAGUUUGCUCGGUUUAGGCCGUCUCAUCCUAGUUCUGAAAACAUUUCCUCCUGGGAUUUGCUGGAGCUGGGAGGAGUCAGUCGUUUUCUUUUUCACUGUAGUUUCGAACAUUAUGGUUUUCCUUAAUGAAAAUCGGAAGGGGGAAGCCCUUCUUUUGAUUCUUAGAUCUAACUUUCCACUGACGAUAGCUUAAAGAAUGAAUUAAUGUAAGUUUGUCUCAUUAAUGUAUGAAUGAAGCAAAACUAGCAAACUAAACCAUCCCAACCAUAGGUGGGCUGGGGAUACCACUGUCCACCUAACCAUCCCAACCACAGGUUGAUUCGCUAAUGCUACUAAUUUGAUGGCAUAAAUGUUGGCCUAUUAUUGUAUAAAUAUGAUCAAACAUAAAAAAGUUUGACUUUUCAACAAAGUUGUAAAUACACUCUUUCAAGGAUGGAGGGAGUACAUAUUUAUAUCCAGCUAUUGUACUUGCCGGCUAUGACCUUGACUAUAGGUGACAUGUCAACACCAUAUAGCCAGCAGUUGGAUGUACUAUUAACUAUGUUCUAGUAGUUAGCUAUAAAUAUGUAUAACUAUGGUCCACCUUUCACUCUCACAAAGUGUCUAGUAGCAUGCGCUGCAGCUGGCUGUUAAUCUACAACAUGUCUCUUCUCUCUCCUACAACUCAGCAAGAAUAUAUUAUUUAAAUUCUUAUAGCCCGCUUACAUCAUCUUAUUAUAUUUGCUCUUAAGCGUUGUCGCGUGCACGGGCUUUGAAGGCCGUGGAUCUCAAGCCGAGUAGGCGUAUUUUUUUGACGGAAAUAGAAAUAAUAUUGUUUUCUACAUUGUUGCUUCAUGAGAUGCUUUACUGACAAUAGAGGUAAUCCUCUAUCCUCUUUCGGUUGCGUAGUUUGCGUAUGUCGAUUAUCUGGGAUCGAUUUUGUAAGAGGACCUCAUCAUCUUGUAUCGUUCAACCAUGUACCUUGUCCUGUUGUGGCUUUAUAUAUAAAAUGGGGUGAAAGCCUGUUUCAAGAUGCUUUACUGAUAGUGAUUAGUUUAGUUUAUUAGGGUGUAAAUAGUCCAGCGCCUUUUGAAUUGGCGGCCAACGCAAGAUUUGAGGCUUUGUUUCUCUCAACGGAUGCUUUGACGGGGCAAAGACUUUGACCCACAAAUUGAAAAUUCAUAAUUGCCAAGGCAGACUGGAGAAUUGGCCAGCCAAAGGUGGUGGGGUAUAAGGCUCUAGGCGAAAGCCUUGUUCUUGGACACGUCUUUGCCAGUGAUGUUGGCUCCUGUGAGCGUCCUCCUUCUCUUGGAGGCAUUCUCGAAGAGUACUUCUACUAGGUUGUGGCCGGUUAGAAGGGAGUGGCGUUGGAGGUUGUUGUCUAGACAGGACAUUUCCCAAUGUUCGGUUGGGCGGUCGUGCGUGGGUCUAGGCUAAGCUUAUUGAUCGACGGGGGCGAAUGCCGGUGACGUCGGUAUCCUUGGACACCGUUUUUCCUUCUUGAAGGUGUCUUCAAAGAUCUUGCUUACAAUUGCAUAGGGUUGAUGUCAUGUUAGGAAGUGGUGGUCUAUUUUUGACAGCGUCGUUUUUAUUUUCAUGUUUGUAUUCGGCCUAGUUUUUCUUAUGAACCAGUCAAUUUUGCAUUUGCUUGCUGCCUUGCUCAUCAGAAAAGGUUUUCUAGCGCUUUGAGACCCUUGUUGACAUAUAAUUCGUCCACAGAAUGGGCUAGAAUGAAAUUUUAUUCGAAUAAAGUUCACAAUCAAACUCAAUUACAUAUUGUUUCUCCUGUGGUUAAAACAGGACAUGAACAGCUAGGUGAAGAUAACAUGCCACUAUCUAGCUGUUGGUCGAAGCUAUGAACUACGGCGAGGACAAUGUAUACAUAGAGAUCUCAAGAGAGUGUUUUUGCGCUGCAUAAAUGUCUGCAACGUUUUUGAUUUCUUCCACCAUUUAUUCAAAGAGAAAACGAUCGUGCUGAUCGUGCUCAUGUCCGAUCUCUCCGCGCCAUCCCAAGGACUCAGAACAUGCGAGCAGCUCGCUCGCACAAAUCGGGGCUCACGCUAGCAAACUAGCUAACAGAAAAUGGGAAACAAUUUUAAGAAAAUCACUAGAUCCUAACUAAGACAGCUGAGGUGCCAGGAUUAAGCAACACUAGCUAGGACUAGGAGCAGCAAACCUGGAUCUAUAUGCUCAUAAAAUAGUCACUUAUUCCAGUCGGCUUACCAAGCACGCGAGCCUUCGUGUCAGGGAAGAAUUCAAACCCCUUGAGCGUCGAGACCGUGCCGGCCUUGCUUACGGCGACGGGGUAGGUGAGGAGGUGGCCUGGGAGGUCGUCCUUGAGCUGGUCGCCGACGUAGAGGUUCCAGCACUCAUCGGCCAUCUUGUUGACCAUCCGCACGCACUCUAGGCUCCCCGGGCGGAGGAAGUCGUCGUGCGUCUUGCCGAGGUGCUCGUACCACAGCGACAUCCGGAAGCCAUGGACGUGCCCCUUGGCGAGCUCGGCAUCGGUGUUGAUGCGGUGCGGCUGGUACGCGCCAAUAGCUAUCUCGCUGUCCCUGUCCCCCGCCAUGGACCGCUCGUUGAGGUUGGCAGAUCCCACAAUGAUGUACUCGUCAUCAACUGAACGAGGACGUGCAUUCUUAGUUAGCAAUCAAGAUGAUGAAGCAUUGCAAUGGAAGCAGAUAAUAAUGGAGUACCGUACCUAUCAUCAUCUUGGAGUGAACGUAGAUCAUGAACCGGCGUGCCUUCUGCGCCCUGGCGUAGUCCGUCCCAUCCUUUGGGUGUUUCGCGGGCUGGUGCUCGCCCUCACUCUUGGCCUCCCGGUUCCCUAAGCAGAAGAAGGUAAGGUAGUCCCUGGGGUUGGCGUCGAUCUUCUUGGCCUGCAGCGCAACGGCGAUGUCGUCAUACAUUAGGGCCAUUGUCCUUCUUUGGUUGUCCAGCAUUGCCUGCCUGUAUCGCCCCGUAGGGGUGCCUUCCGACCACAUGGGCACCACGACAUAGACCGCGAAGCGUUCGCCGGCCUCUAUCUUGCUCACGAUCUUGAGUGAGAGCUCCCUGGGGAUCUGCUGACACGCCCCGACAUCUGCCGGGUCUAUGCCGUCGUGGGUUUUCCACUGGAAGGAGCUGCCGGCGAAGUACUGGUUCUCAAUGUAGAUGAAGCUUUUUGCGGCGCGUAUGGCGUGGAUGUAGGCGUCCUGGAUGCUCCUCUCGAACACUCGGUGCUUGUCUUGGACGAGGCCGGCCUCAUAGGCAUCCUCCAUGGAGUCGGGGAAGCCCAAGGUGGAGAUGCUGUCGAUGGACCGGAACAGUUGCACACUCCACGCCUCCUGGUCGCCGGGGAGCGUCACCGGCCAUGAGGACGGAGCGACCUUGCCCUCGAGGGCUACAAGGUCGACCAGGUGCUCCUUGCCGCCGCCUUGUUUCCUCCACCGCUGCUCGAAAUUGUGGAGCACGUCCCAUGCCACGGCGCCCUCGACCUUGGCGUGGAUGUCGUGCCAUGGCGUCCUGGGCCCGCCCUUGUCGAGCGUCGCGUCCUCGUCACUGAAGUUGAUUUGGCUGAAGUCAUUGCUGUGCGCCUGCCCCGUGCCCAGCGUCCUGAACAGGGAGUGGGACUGCGUGUCGUAGCGUCCAUUGCACACGUCGAGGCCGCCGAGGAAGCUGACGAUCUGGCGGUGCCCGUUCGACCCCGACGAAGCAGGUAGCUCCUGGUCGACGGUGAUGGCCUUCUGGUGGUGGCUGUAAACGACCGUGUCGACAGGCGUCUUGGCGUCCAAGAUGUAGCCUCUGACGGACCAGUUCCUCGGGCAGAGGACGCACUGCACGCGGCUGCCGCGGAAGUACUUGGCCGUCAGCUGGUCCCUCGUGUCCAUGACGCCGACCUCGUGCAGGCCAUCAAUGGAGGAGAUGUCGUUCCACACGAGCAGGAGCACGUGCACGCCCUCGCCGGCCUUGCGCUUCAGGAGCUCGCCGGGGGUUUCCUGCACGCCGUCCCGGCCCCGCACCAGCGUGAUGUGGGGGAACAUGGACCAGGCCGUGAUGUACACGAGGUGCCGUGCGUUGCUGAUGGCGUCGUAUAUGUCUUCCCAACAGUGCCCGGGCUUGUAGAGCCCGCCACCGUCGAGCCGGAUCUUGGGGUCGAACUCCUCAGACGCGUGCGCGUCCUGGUACAGGGUGACCCUGCACCCCGGCCUCUGCGCGAAGAAGGUGUGGGGCACCACGCCGCCGCCGACUCCGCCGCCCCACGCCAGGCCUUGGUCAGCGACAUCGCAGAAGCUGAUCUGCACGUGUAUCUUGGGUCCAUCCGGGAGCUUCGUCCUGUCCGUGCCAAGGACGUCGAACCAGCGGUCGAUUGUUGUGCCAUUGGCAUUGAGGAGCUCCCGGGCGGGCAGGUAGGCGCGGCCGAGGACCGUGUCAUCGUCGAGGCCGAGCUGCUCGAUCAUGAUGGAGAUGACGACGUCGGCGGCGUGGUGGGCGCAGUAGGCGCGGAGCGGCUCGUUCCAUCGCGCGCUUCCGGCUGCAGGGAUGGCGAUGGUACGCGUCCGCGCGAUGCACGCGCUGCCGAGGUAGAUGGCCGCGUACAUCCGCGACAGGCCCUUGCCCAAACCCGUCGUCUCCUGCACACCUUGCACAAUCUACGUACGGGAGUUGCAAGUUAAGUUCAUCAUUAUUCAUAACCAAAAUUUUAAAUAGCGGAUUAUGACAACAGUCCUGCUAAAUCUUAGUCAACUGAGACAUAAUGUCUCAGUCAAUGCUACAUUCAUGAGAUAUCCGUGUAAACUUUUUUUUUUCUAAUUUUGUUUCUUCUUUUACAUGUUAUGUCACUUGAAUGAGAGUUGGUUAAGUCCGACUUGACUGAUACCUAGCCACACCCCAAUAACAAUAGCGGCAAAAGCGGCGCUAAAUGGUGCUAAACGGUUUGGUGUGAUCCCCUCCAAAGGCUACAACACCCGAGAGAGCGCAUUAAUUAAAACUAUAUAUUUUGUAAACUGAAAAGAUCAAGAAGACAUACACAUUGCACAAUCUAAGCACGGGAACUAAUUGCUUCUAGUUAAGUCAAUCAUUCAUCGUGAAGUGUAAACAAAAGAUUUCAAUAGCAGGCUAUGCUAAAUAGUGACAAAAGCAACGUGCUAAAUUGCGCUAUAGCGCGAACUGGCGGUAAAUGGUGCUAAACGCUUAGUACGAUGCCACUCCAUACGGUAUAGCGCGCCAUCUGAAAAGAUCAAGAACGGACGUACAUUGCCAAGGAAGCUGGCGACGAUGCCGGUGUGGCGGGAGCGAUCAUGGAUGUUGUCGGCCCCCAUGAUGGUAGCAUUGAUGGUGCCGUGGAGCCGCAGAUGCGCCAUUGCUUGAUAGCUCCUUGGAUCUCAAGACGUACGCUAAGGAGAAUGGAGGAUGUGGUGGUGACUGGUGGGCAAGCUGCUUCACUAGGAUGGUGGCACAAAGGGUGUUACUAGGGAGUACAUUUAUAGCCGGUACAGGUCCAAGGAGAAAGAUGCUUCAACAGAUAUGCUUAGAUUGAGAGCUGAGGCUAAGCUCAUCGAUUCUUGCUUCAGAUCAGCAGCGUUCACAAGGAGGUGCAACUUGCAUGGCCAAGUGAUUUAUAGGUUAAUUCAUCAUGUGCCACUUGCAUGGCUAGUUGCCAAAAUUACCUAGCGCCCAAUUGGUUUAUAGGUUAUUCAUGUGUCACUUGAUUGCAUGGCUAGUUGCGUCAGUCACACGUGCUAAACCUUGGAAAGCAUGCCGGCCACUUGGCUAGUUGCCAUUCAAAUUACCUAGCACCUAUUCACACUGGCGGGUUUUUUUUUUUGGUUGGUGAGGAUCUACCAGAGUUUGAAUGGGAUCCAUGUCUGCACCUCCUUAUGGACACUGCAGAUCUGAAGUAAGUGUUGUUUAACUUAGCCUCCAGCUUUCAGUUUACACUUGCAGCAAGGUGCAGAAUAUGGGCAUGUGAAGCAAAGCUAGAUAACCAAAGUCCUAGCAAACUAGUUUUGCAGCUCGUAAUCACAUGUGUAGUAAAAUUAUGAAUGCCCGUCGCAUUGAUGGAUCUGAUCAAUUAGGUUCAUCAAAAGCUAAAUAUAUCGAAUAUUAAGGUGAAAAUAAUAAUAUUGCACUUGUCAUGUAUUAAUAAUAUUCUGGUUGUGAUCGUUUCCAAUGAUUUCCAUGUGUCUGAAAAAGUAACGGCCAAACAAGCAUGUUAAAGACUUUUUUAUUUGUAAUAAGUCGGAUAAGAGUAAGUAUAAUAGCAUGCUUAUAGUCCGCUUACAUGGCAAUUUAGCCUAUGUGGAGGAGAGAGACAUGAAAAAUUAAGGGGAGUGUGCUCUCAUGCAAGAUUCUAGCUAGCUAUAUGUGGACUCCUAAGUCGAUACAAUAAAUAUGAAGAAAGAGAUAGAAAGUAUGUGAGAAAGAGUAGUACUGGUAUAUUUAACCUAAUAACUAACCUUAUUGUAUGAGUGACUAUAAGUGAUGGCUAUAUAUGACAUGGUAAUAUCAUAUAGCCAGCAGUUGGCUAUAUUAUUAACCAUGCUCUAAGGAUGCAGCUAGCGUCAAGAUGGGGCUUUCCACACAGUUCGGUUUAGCACGUGCGAUUGAGGGAAGUGGCACAUGACUAAAUCUGGACGCUCAGCUCGAACUUUUGGGCUCGGCCCGAGUUUGCGUCGGCUCGGAGCGAGUCAGGCUCGGCCCGUAACACAAAAAGGCCGAGCCGAGCUACACAAUCGGGCUCGUUUUCACCUCGAGCCGAGCCAGGCUCGACUCGGGCUGGCUCGCGAGCCCAAAGCUCGCACGGCAGAGCAGCCCAGCGCAGCCCUUAGCAAACAGCCCAACACGCUAUCUCACGCAGGUGACGCAGCCCAUAGCCAGCACGCUGCCUUGGCCCAGUUUGCACAUCUCCACGCCCGCACGAUACGAGAAAGAGAGCGAGAUGACAUAGCAGCUUCCGUAGGGUUACCUCGCCGCCGCCGCCAGCAGCAUGCCGGACGCCGACGCCGGCUCGCUGCUCGCCCACCCUUCCUCCUCCACCUCGUCGACGUUCUCUUCCUGCUCGCCACCGCAGCCGAUGGAGUCGACGGCUUCCUUCUUCGCGGCGCUCGCGUACGUCCACGAGGAGCGCCGCCUCCGUCUUCCUCGCUUGCCGUCGGCGACCUUGCUGGUCGCCGCCUGUCUUCUUCUCGACGCAUGCACGUGUUCACGAGGAGCGUCGCGCUGUCUUCCUCACGAGCGGUCGGCAACCACCCAGCUUCAUCAGAGCGCCGCCGCCGUCUUCCUCGCCUCCCGUCGGCGACCACCCAUGUGAAGGCCCACAUGGCAGUGACUUGGAGUACGCAGGCUUGGCGAGCCUGCCAAGCUGCACCGAGCUAGGGCAAAGCCCGGGCCGAGCUCCGUUUUGUGGCUCGUCGGAGCAUUGAGCUCGGCUUGGCUCGCCCGAGGAACGGCGAGCUUCAGGCAGGCUCGGCCCGAGCUCGGCUCGAGUUGGCUCGCGUCCAGGACUACACAUGACUGACGACCUAUAAACCAAUUGGACAAUUGGGUGCUAUAGUAUUUGAUGAAUGACAUCUAGCCAUGCAAGUGGCACAUGAUGGAUUAACCAAUAAAUCACUUGGCUAACUGGGCGCUAGGUGAUUUGAAUAGGAUCCACAGCUGCACCUUGAUCCUUGUGGACGCGGCUGAUCUGAAAGCAAGAAUCGAUGAACUUAACCUCAAGAUGGGAUAUGCUUUACACACAGAUCAUUGCAGCAGGUGGGAUUGAGGCAACUUGCCAAGUGGCACAUGAUUAGCAUAUAAACCAAUUGGCCAAUUGGGCGUCGGUAGUAUGAAUAGGAUCCAUAUGACUGCACCUCCUUAUGGACACUGCAGAUCUGAAGUGAGAGUUGUUUAACUUAGCCUCCAGCUCUCAGUUUACACUUGAAGCAAGGUGCAAAAUAUGUGCAUGUGAAGCAAAUCGAGAUUAGCAAAGUCCUAGCAAACUAGUUUUGCAGCUCUUAAUCACAUGCGUAACAGGAUAAUGAUGUAGCUAGCGUCAAGAUGGGGCUUUCCGCACAGCUCCGUUUAGCACGUGCGACUGAGGCAACUAGCCAUGCAAGUGGCACAAGAUAUAUUAACCUAUAUAAACUAAUUGGCUAAUGUUGAAGCAUCUUUAUCCUCCAGCCCUCAAUAUCCGCACACACAUGUUGAAGCACCUUUCUCGUUGGACCUGUAGCGGCUAUAAGUGCACUGCCUAGCAACACCUCGAAUUGGCCAAUUGCUAAUUUCAGAAGUAGGAUCCACUGGGUGCACUGCCUAGAAUCGAUUGAGGCAACUAGCCAAGUGGCACUGACACAUGACAUAUAUAAUUCAUUUGGCCAAUUGGGCGCAAGGUAAUUGGAUGCAGAUCUGAUCUGAAGCAAGAAUCGAUGAACUUAGCCUCCAUCUCUCAAUCUACACGUACCGGCUAUAAAUGCACUGCGCCACUGCCUAGCAACACCUUUGAGACACCAUCCAAGCGAAGCAGCUUGCUCACCGGUCACCACCACAUCCCUCAUUCCCAUUCUCCUUACUGAUCCAAGGAGCAAGCAAUGGCGAAUCUGCGGCUCCACGGCACCAUCAAUGCCACCAUCGUGGGGGCUGACAACAUCCACGAUCGCUCCCGCCACACCGGCAUCGUCCCCAGUUUCCUCGGCAAUGUACGUCAGCUGGAUGUCUCGUUGGUCUUUUCAUUUUUUUCACCAAAGUUAGCUUUGCUAUAGUAGUGUCACUAAAGAGCCCUCCCUUUAAAGCUUUGCAUUGUUAGUGCUAAAUUGAAAAUGCCGCUAAAACUUGCUAUUUUCUGCUGUAGUACUAAAUCUGGAGUCAUUUAGCGGCGCUAUAAGCUGCUAUUGGACCAAAACUUUCUAGGCUUUUCGAAAAUCACGUCGCAGAGGCCCAAAUUUCUACCUCAUUCUUCCUUCUUGUUAUAUAUAUUGAUGCAAAAUUUGGUUAUUGAAUUAGGAUGCCUUAUCAGUGCUCGAAUGUUUUAGUGUGAACAUUUAUAUGUCAAGUAUAUGGGAUAUAUCACAUGUGAUGCAUGAUUGCAUGCAUACUUUUUUCAUUUAUUAUUAUUAUUUUAGAAAUGCUAAAUGGGCUUAGCAUCGCUUUAGCUUUUGACAGAGCCGUUGCUAAAUGACAUAGCAUGCUAUUCAAAACUAUGGUCUGCCUACACUCUGAAUUAUCCACUUAACUAAAAGCUAUUCCCGUACAUAGAUUGUGCAAGGUGUCCAAGAGACGACGGGUUUGGGCAAGGGCCUGCCGCGGGUGUACGCGGCCAUCUACCUCGGCAGUGCGUGCGUCGCCCGGACGCGUACCAUCGCCGUCCCUUCAACUGGAACCGCGCGAUGGAACGAGCCGCUCCGGGCCUACUGUGCCCACCAUGCCGCCGAUGUCGUCAUCUCUGUCAUGGUCGAGCAGCUCGGCCUCGCCGAUGACACAGUCCUCGGCAGCGCCUACCUGCCCGCUCUGGAGCUCCUCAACAGCGACGAGACAAUCGACCGCUGGUUCGAUGUCCUUGGCGCCAACAGAAAGAAGCUCUGGGAUGGGCCCAAGAUACACGUGCAGAUCAACUUCCGCGAUGUCGCUGACCAAGGCCUGGCGUGGGGCGGCGGCAUUGGCAUCGGCGGCGCCAAGGUGCCCCACACCUUCUUCUCGCAGAGGACGGGGUGCAGGGUCACCCUGUACCAGGACGCGCACGCGUCUGAGGAGUUUGACCCCAAGAUCCAGCUCGACGGCGGCGGGCUCUACAAGCCCGGGCACUGCUGGGAAGACCUGUACGACGCCAUCAGCAAUGCACGGCAUUUGGUGUACAUCACCGGCUGGUCGGUGUUCCCCCACAUCACGCUGGUGCGGGACGGGAACCAGCAGGAAACCCUCGGCGAGCUCCUGAAGCGCAAGGCCAACGAGGGCGUGCACGUGCUCCUGCUUGUGUGGAACGACGUCUCCUCCAUUGAAGGCUUGUAUGAAGCCGGCCUCUUGGGCACGAGGGACGAGGUGACGGCCAAGUACUUCCGCGGCAGCCGCGUGCAAUGCGUCCUCUGCCCGAGGAACAUGUACGUUAGAGGCUACAUCUUCGACGCCAAGCGGCCUACCGACUCCAUCUUUUACAGCCACCACCAGAAGGCAAUCGUCCUCGACCAGGAGCUGCCUUCAUCGUCGGACGGGCGCCGCCAGAUCGUCAGCUUCGUCGGCGGCCUCGACGUGAGCUAUGGACGCUAUGACACGCAGUCCCACUCCCUGUUCAGGACGCUGGGCACCGGGCAGGCACACAGCCAGGACUUCAACCAAGUCAACUUCAGGGACGAGUCUGCGACGCUCGAGAAGGGCGGGCCCAGGGAGCCAUGGCACGACAUCCACGCCAAGGUCGAGGGCCCCGUGGCAUGGGACGUGCUCCACAACUUCGAGCAGCGAUGGAGGAUACAAGGCGGCGACAAGGAGCACCUGGUCGACCUUGUAGCCAUCGAGGGCAAGGUCGCGCCGUCCUCAUUGCCGGUGACACUCCCCGGCGACCAGGAGGCGUGGAGUGUGCAGCUGUUCCGGUCCAUCGACAACAUGGCCACCGUGGGCUUCCCCGACUCCAUGGAGGCUGCCUACGAGGCCGGCCUCGUCCAGGACAAGCACCAUGUGUUCGAGAGGAGCAUCCAGGACGCCUACAUCCACGCAAUACGUGCCGCAAAGAACUUCAUCUACAUCGAGAACCAGUACUUCAUCGGCAGUUCCUUCCAGUGGAAGUCCGGCGUCGGCAUAGAUCCGGCGGCAGUCCAGGCGAAUCACACGAUCCCUAGAGAGCUCUCGCUCAAGAUCGUGAGGAAGAUCGAGGCCGGUGAGCGCUUCGCGGUCUACGUCGUGGUGCCCAUGUGGUCGGAAGGCUACCCUACGCAUAUGUACAGGCAGGCGAUGCUGGACAACCAGAGGAGGACCAUGUCCAUGAUGUACAACGACAUCGCCGCUGCGCUGCAGGCCAAGAACAUAGACGCUGAUCCCAGGGACUACCUUACCUUCUUCUGCUUAGGGAACCGCGAGGCGAGGAACCCAGAGGGCGGCGAAUACCAGCCUGCGAAAAUCCCAAAGGACGGGACGGACUAUGCCAAGGCGCAGAACGCACGCCGGUUCAUGAUCUACGUUCACUCCAAGAUGAUGAUAGGUACCUAAUAUUUCUCCUCCGCUAUUAUCUACUUGCAUUGCAUUGCUUCAAUCACCCUGAUAGCUAAGUAAUAUGUACCUCUCGUCUUGUUCAGUUGAUGACGAGUACAUCAUUGUCGGAUCUGCCAACCUCAACGAGCGGUCCAUGGCGGGGAACAGGGACACCGAGAUCGCCAUUGGCGCAUACCAGCCGCACCGCAUCAACACCGAUGCCGAGCUCGCUAGAGGGCACGUCCAUGGCUUCCGGAUGUCGCUCUGGUACGAGCACCUCGGCAAGACGCACGACGACUUCCUCCGCCCGGGGAGCCUAGAAUGCAUGCGGAGGGUCAACAAGAUGGCCGAUGAGUACUGGAACCUCUACAUCGGCGACGAGCUUACGGGCGACCUCCCAGGCCACCUGCUCACCUACCCCGUCGCCGUAAGCAAGGCCGGCACAACCUGGAUGAUACCGGGAUUCGAAUUCUUCCCUGACACAGAGGCCCGCGUCCUUGGUAAGCCAACUGGACAUGACGAUUAUUACAUGAGCACAUAGAUGGAGCCAGGUUUGCUAGCUGCUCCUAGCUAGUAGUGGUGUUUGAUUAAUUCUGGCACGUCAGCUUUCUUAGUUACUAGUAGGAUUUAGUUACUAUUUUCCUAAAACUAUUUCCCGUUUUCUGCUAGCUAGUUCGUUAGCGUGAACCGCGAUUUGUGCGAGCCAUGCCUUUGUACCGCGAGCGGGCAGUUCACACGUUUUCCCUUUCAUGAAUAAAUGGAGGAAGAAAUGAGAAAACACUCUCUCAAGCUCUUUGUGUACACAUUGUCCUCGCCGCAGUUCAUAUAUAGCUCCGGCCAACAGCUAGAUUGUACUCCCUCCGAACCAAAGUAAGUGUCGUGUUGUGGUUUUAGUUCAAAUAUUAACUAAAACCACGACACUUAUUUUGGAUUGGAGGGAGUACCAUUUAUCUUCAGCUGUUGAUGUCGUGUUUUGUCCACAGAAGGAACAAUAUGUGAUUGUUUCCAACCAGGGCAUGUACGUUUCCCAAUAGCGUUGCAUGUAUAAUUUCUCAAAGAUAUAUGAGCACAACAAUACAUAUAGUUAAUCUAUCUCUUUAAAUUUAGGCUUACAUUUACAGUUUACCCUAUAAGGUUAUGCGAGUUGAUAGUCUGGUCUUAACUUCUCUCUACUUCAAACUAGAGGUAUAGCUAAACCAAAACAGAAGGUAAAUCAGAUCUGUAUUUCAUCUGAGUAGAUGAAACUAACAGCUAUUAUUAAUUAAGUUAUACAUUCAUUCGCAAAAAAAAUAUCGUGAAACUUUUUCUAUGCUUCUCCUGUUUUUUUUUUCCACUUGAAAGAGUAUGCGUACAAGGUGGUUUUGGCUAAAUCAGCCAGAAAUAAGCUCACCACUGCCAGCCAGUGGCGUAGCUAGGGUUUUGAGUCAGAGUUUGUGCGAUGGGCACUGAUUCUUUUCCCUACAAAUACAACAUGCCAACGUAGUACUAGUAUACAUCUUACCCAAACAUAUAUCAAUAUUACUCUGUAAGCAUUUUAAAAUUCAAAAAGGAGUCGGAAAAUAUGCAUUGAAUAAGUCAUCACGCCUUAUUUCUCUGGAAAAGGGAUUGAAAUAGCAAUGGCCUUCUUCUCUGCAGAAAGGUUACCGGAAAAGAGAUGCAAUGCUUUCCGUCCUCUCUGUUAUGCAACAAUUCCACAUGUAAAAUUAUUAAUUCUGCAGAAAAACUUUCAGAUAUUCUGCGGCAUCCAAUUAUUGAGUUACAGUAUAUGCACAACUGAACAACUAAACAGUUGAGGUAGCUCGGGAUUCUGACAUCCCACGGUAGUACUUUAUUUGCUUUGCUGAAUGAGUACGUUAUUCAGAGGAUGCUACUGCAAUCUUUUGAAAGAUUUAAUUCUUUGGCUGCUAUCUAAAGCUGGCUAGCCGAUUCUAUAGUACUACCUUGUCAAUUGUAGAUUUUCAAUCCAUGAGUCGAAGUCGUUGCCCCCAAGUAAGUGAAGCAUCCAUUAGCCUCAGAUCUUGCGCUGGCUGCAAAUUUAAAAGCCGCUGGACUGUUUACUAAACUAAACUAAUCAUUGCUAUAUAUUAGUAAAGCAUGCCAUUGAGCCACACUAUAAACAACAGUACUCGGCUUCAGAACUUGUGCUAGCGGCGUCGCGGUCUUCAAGGCCCGUGCACAUGACAACACUUGAGCAUCCAUCAGCGUGCCAUCGGGUGAAAGUGAAACGAAACAUGAUACUUCCUGUCUCUUCCUCCUGGUUUGUUAGUAGGCAGAAAGAGUUAACUUGUCUCCAGGGGAAGAAGGAAAACAACUAGUGGUUGGUGAAGAUGGGGAAAGAACACAGGAAGCUGAACAGUGGACGGAGGGAGUAAGCAAGCAGGGCCUUCAAUGUAGAUUGUGGCCUUUUUAACCUGCUCUGCUACCGUGCUAUAGUAAGCUGCAACCAUGAGCAUGAGGAGUACCACUACCAGUUCACUGCAAUAAUAUUGAGUAGCUGUCUGUGAUCAGGUUGGUUUUGCAAGCUAGCUUUCUGUGAUGGAUAUAGAUUAAUUAUCCAUAAUUUUGAUCCUAGAAUUCUUGUGUCUCAGAGGGUAAAAAAUCCACUUGUCUCUAAUCCUAGAAUUCCAAUCGUUUCAGUCUAUUCAAACAGUCCAUCGAAUACCGCCGAGAGAUGAAAACAAAAAUCCAUCGAUGAUGACAGGUAAAACAAAAAGGAGGCAAAUUAAUUAAUACAUUCCUUGAUGCAGUCGACGUCGACGAGAAGUUGUUCCUUGCAGACAACAGAAUUCACCCUCCAGCAAACGAAACACAGAAUGGAGGAAACCGGUUUGGGGAAAUUGAUUUGUAGGUCGGUAGUGUAACAAGGGUUCCUGGAUGCAGUAGGCCAGUAGCCGAGCCCACCUGCGGCCAGGGGCGCAAAGGUGUCGUCGGUGAGGCGGGCCCAGGUGAACACCCCGCCGCCGAUAGGGCAAGAAGACCCCGCGGCCCCAAGCGAGGGCGUAGAGGAGUACAAUCGAGGAGAAGCUCCUGCCGCCAUGGCCGUCGGGAUUCAGAUGGGGACGGAGACGGAGACCAGCCCGAGCUGGAGGGGAGGGUUGGGGGAGGAGGUUCUCGGGGGUGCUCUCGCCCUCGCAUGAAAGAGGAGGGGAAGGAGAAGGUGGAACCUACGGCGGAGACACGACACAAGCCCUCUCCUAGAGCGCCUAUACAGCGCUUCAGGCGCCCUGAAUCGCGCUGCCGCUCGCGCGGAUCGCUAGGUGGGCCGCGGCCCAUUGGCAUUUACCUGUUGGCUCGUUCGUAUUCUGCUGCGUCACUGAUUUUGUAAAAGUUCACAAAUAUUAAAAAUGUUCUGGAAUUUUUCUAAAAGUUCAUAAAAGAUGAGGAAGCCCAUGAAAUUUGAAAAGUUUACAAAAAUUUAAAAAUAUUGAAUUUUUAAAAAUGCCAAAUUAAAAAGAGAAUCACCAAUUUGAAAAAAAAAAUCACCAAUUUGAAAAUAUAACUAUUUGGAAAAAAUUCACUAAAUUUAGAAAACUUCAUGAAUUUAAAAAAUAAUCCUGAAUUUGAAAAUAGUUCACGCAUUUGAAAACAAAUGAAAAAAAACCGAAAAAAGAAAAAGAAAAAAAGGAAAAUACGAAAGUAGAAAAAGAAAUAUAUAUAGAAACCGAACAAUAAUCUAUGACAAAGAAAACCAGAGAAACCACUCUGCAAAAAUCCAGAGGGAAAUGUCCCCCAAACCAGUGCACUGUGCUAGGGAGAGGCUUGUUUUGGGCCGGCCUGUUAUGUGUCGUUUUAGAAAAUAGGUUACUAAACUGAGAAAAGUUCAUCAACUUAAAAUAAGAUAUUGAAUUUAAAAGGAAUGCAAAAUUAAAAAGAGAAUCAUGCGUAGGCGCCGGCUACUAAUAGGCCUACUCCGAAAGCAUUCACAGAAAGUGUGCCGCCAAGUUGGAUGCAUAUCAGCCCGAGGGGCAUAGCAUGAGGCCAUGCAGCGAGUGAGUUGCGCAGAAACCAACAAACGAAAUGACCUACCUGCUGCUCCUUUAGGAGCAGAGAUGCAUGUCUCCGAAAAAUUGGUCAUGCAAAUCGAGUCAGUCACGGUCAUCCACCUCGCCGAGGACAUUGUUCAGGACUACUUCGGGUGCAGCUUUCUUCCCACUUGCUACCAACCAUCGUCAUAAACCAAGUAGCUCGGUAGCAUAACUGUCUCCCCAAACCAUGUGCAGGUGCAAGGUUAACGUUGGAUAGGACAAGAAAACACGUGGUUUCCCUUCUGUUAUUGUUACAGCAUACUGGCUAGCAGGCAAAACGUACCAUUGGUUUCUCCAAUCGCGAAUAAAUAGGCGCCCAAGGAGCCAGAUUUCCAUAGGUAUACCGACGAAGAAGAGGGAGAAACUUCAUUUGGAAACUCUCCUCCCUUCAAUUCCUUCCCCUCAUUCCGCCCAGUCCGGCUCCGGAGUCCCCAAGAACAAGAAGAGGAACAAGGAGGAGGAGAACACAUCGAUCCAAACGAACGCCGCGACCGAGACGAUUGAGAGAUAAAAUGGCGUCGGCCUGCUUCUUCGCCCGCUGCGCCUCCCUCCCCGCGCGCCUCGUCGCUCACCCCACGCCCCUCGCCAUCACCUCCUGCAGGUAAGUAUCUAUACAACCGAUCCUGGAUCCUUUCGGUUCCGAUCUGCUUCGUGCUCCGUCUCAAAUCUGACCUGCAGGCUGCGGCGGCUCGGCGCCGAGGGAGCAAGGCCGGUGUGCGCCGCCGGGAGGAUGCUCGGCUCCGUCAGGUCAGUCAUGGUGAUCGAUCGGGUGGGACUGGUCGGAUGACAGGGCUUUAUCCGGCUAUUUACACGCUUGUUCCUUCUUCUCGCUCCAGAUACGGCACCGGAGCGGCGUUGGGCCCCAAGGAAGCGGGUGCGGAGGUGGCCGCCGUGCCGCCAUCGGUGCCGGUGCGCGUCGCCUACGAGCUGCAGCUGGCCGGCCACCGCUACCUCGACGUCAGGUAAAGACUGUACUGUCAACUGACUGAGAGAAAAAUUCAGUUCCCUGAACGAAUUCGUUACAUCGAUCCGAAACCAGUUUUGCUGAUGCCUUGUCUCUUCAGAACGGAGGGCGAGUUCGGCGGCGGGCAUCCGGCAGGAGCGGUGAACAUCCCCUACAUGCACAGCACCGGCUCAGGUAAUUCGAUUAAUCAAACCCACUUCACUCCAGUGAAGCUCCCUCUUGUGUCUUGUGAUCAUAGAAAGAAAUACAUGGGACCAAUGCUAGCAAGAUCAGUUAUAGUUAAUCAUCUAGUCCAACGCAAAAAGUGUUGUAUUUUUGGACCAGAGUGGUUUCAGAAUAUGAACAUCCGCACCAACCUGACAAAUCAGGGUAGGCAGCGCUGCAGUCAGUGGGCAGGUGUAUAAAUCUGAACCUACACGUGAAUGCACGUGCAUUAUGGUGUCUCUAUUGGCGCCGCGAAUAGUGGUUUUGUUUAUUGUUGCUUGGCACCAUGAUCAGGAGCAUUUUACGGACGCUGAUGAAUGCAUAAUUGUCUAAUUGUCUAUCACUAUUCACUAGCUACAUCCAAAUCCAAGUUGCUUCAGAGUGAUGCGGGCAUGUCCUUCCGGAUGAAGUUUACCUUCUCUGCUCUGAUCAAAUUUAAAUUUCCAUUGGCAGGGAUGGCCAAAAACUCAGGUUUUCUAGAGCAAGUGUCGGCGAUAUUCAGGAGGGAGGACGAGAUCAUCAUCGUACGUCUUCCACACACGCCCCAUUUUUUUUGUUUUCGUUUGAGUUGUCAUAUCCUCCUUACAUUCUCAAAACUUAUCUCCAGGGAUGCCAAAGUGGCAGGAGGUCUCUCAUGGCAGCAGCCGAACUCUGCUCCGCCGUAAGCACGUCAAUGGCAAUCCAUCUCAUCAUCGCUGAUGUUUGGUAAACUGCUCUCUGUCAUGUGUGUUUGUAACAUUUUUCAGGGUUACACUGGUGUGACCGACAUCGCCGGAGGGUAUUCUGCUUGGAAGGAGAACGAGCUGCCGAUCAACCAGUGAUGUCGUCGACUUCUCAAUGUGUCUGAAACAUUACAACCUGUCUCGAGGGUUGAGGCUACUCUGCUCCAAGGUUGUAACCAGUAUUGUCGUCUUGAUCUCGGAUUCAAGGCACCACGAUAGUGCACUCAAUAAAUUAGUGUAGCUUGCCAUUUAUGUAUAGGAUAUGUGCAAAAUGUUAGCACAACAAAAGAUUAUGACCCUGUCCAAUAUUCCUUUCGAUGCCUUCUGUAAAUUGUGUAAAACCUAAUCUGAUCAGAAUUUUUUAAGCUGUGAUCUAUCUUGCCAUUGGCAUCAUGGCGUGAUGGCACUUACAGCUCACAGUGACAGAGUAUACACAAUGUGGGCACUGAAUCUGAACUGAAAUUAACAAUAUACAACUUGAACCAUGACACGGAAUGCAGUUCAUCAACGGCCCUUCCCAAAAGCAAAGAGCACUGUUCCUUGAGAGAGUGAAACGAGGAUGAAGAAGCAAAGCACAAGCCUCCUCGUGUGCUCUACAACCUGUCAAUCUAUGCAUAAAGAAAUUAACCGCAUUAGAAUAAACGCACUUGCCAUGUGUUUGUUUACGAUACUGCAUGAUGUUUGAAGCCAUCUUAGAGCAUCCACAAUGCUAGGCGGUUAUCUGGCCGCUUAUGGAGAAAACAAACAUCUGGAAAUUAAAAAAAAAAUCUCAACGCCCUCUCAGUGUUGCUUUUUUUACGUGAAAGCCCCCUCUCAUUCAGUGCUAUACACUAAUGGCAGACACUAAUAUAUCUUCGGAACAAAGGCAACCGUUCGGGAAGGAAAAAGGCAAGCCCUCAUAUGCAUAAUUUUCGCGGUGAUGCCACACCCGGCCCCUGGGAAUCAAAGGUGCAUUUGUCGAUCGGCUAGGAAAUCUAUCCUAGUGCCCUCCACUAGAACCUAGCGUCGGAUCCACCCUUACGGUUGUGUGCAUCAAACAACGCAAAGGCCGGACAUUGCCUUAUUUUGAAUUUGUUUUCCAAGCAAUCUCAUCUUCGGUUUGGGUUUGAAUUGUCAUGGGGGUUUCUUGUUGACUCGAAGAGUUGAUUACAUUGUGCAAGUGGUGUUUUUUCUUGAGUGGGAGUCUGUGAAUUGUGCAAGUGGUGUUGACUCCUCUCGCUAAAGAGGAAAAAAAGAAGUGGUGUUGACCCGAAGAGUUGGCAAUCCCUAUUUCUCACUCUCUUGUGACAAAAGUGUCGAGCAAUCGCACACAAGGAGCGACCUAGCGAACAAAAUGGGCGGGCCCAGUUAGCUAUAGGAUUCCGGUUUUAGCUAUUGUAUUUCUUAUUUUUAUUUGUUUCCUCUAUAGGGUUUAUUUUUAGGUUUUCUCUUUCAUUUUUGAGAAAAAUGAUCCCCAAUUUUUCAAAAAACAAAUCAUAAUUUAUAAAAAUGUAUGAUUAUUUAUUUAAUUUUACUUUUUAAAUGUUAACAAAAUUUAAAAAUAUGUUCAACAUUUAUAAAUAGGUCUGAUCUUUAUAUAAAGUUUUUCAUAAAAGUUAAAAAUAGUAAAUUUAAAAACAUAUUUCAUGUUCCCAUUUUUAUUCAAAUCGGUUGAAAACUAAUAAACACCAGAAAACCACCCAAAACUGCAGUCGAAAAGAAAACCAAACUAGACCUGAACGCAUAUGAUACAACGUCCAAAAUGGGCCGCCGAAGGAAUGCAGGCGUUUGCGUUUUUUCUACUAUCUGUCGCACCUAGCGAUAGAUAGGAGCUCCAAAUAGGGGACGGCUAUGUGCCGCUUAUUGCGAGGCAGACGGCUGCCUUGCCUACCCGGUGGUGCGCCGGCUCAGUAGGACAUGGCUCAUUAUGAUGACGUCAUUCAAUUUUUUCUUCUAUUUUUUAGUUAUAUUUAUUUUUAAAUGCAUAACUUAAAUUUACUUAGGAAAUUUUAAAGUACGUAUUUGAAAAAAUGUUAACAUAAUAUAGAAAAUGUGUUAGUGCAGUUUAAAAAAAUGUUGAUAACUGGGAAAAUGUUCCCAUCUUUCAAAACAAUGUGUGCGAUUUUGUUUAAAUGUGUAUGCCACGUAAUUUUUUUUAAUAUAAAACAAUGAUUCAUACCAUUUAAAAAAUGUACGUGACAUUUUAUGUAAAUAUCCCUGUGUUCAAAAAAAUGUACGUGAAAACUUAAAAAAUGUUAUAUACAAUGUAGAAAUGUGUUCGUGUCUAUUAAUAAAAGUGUUUAUUUCAGUUAAUAAUGUGGAUAACAUUUUAAAGAAAUAAUCACGUGCUUCAAAAAAAUGGCCAUGAAGUUUUAAAAAAACUACAAUGUAAAAAAUGUUUCCCUUUUUUUUAAAUUUCUUUAUUGCCAGUAAAAAUGUACAAUGUAUAUUUUGAAAAGGUCACCAUGUAUUCAAAAAGUGUUCAAAAGAUGUAUUUUUAAAAAGGUACAUCAUGUAUUUUGAAAAUAUCCAACAUGUAUCAGAAAAUAUUUCACGUGUGCUCUAAAAUGUAUAUUGUGCACUGAGAAAAACGUAGACAUGUGGUAAAAAAAACCCGGUAAAAACUGACAAAGAAACAAAAAGGAAAACAAAAAACUGAAUAAAACCAAGAAAGAAAC
rnacentral:lncRNA from 1 species